rnacentral:rRNA from 1 species
UACGUAGGGUGCGAGCGUUAAUCGGAAUUACUGGGCGUAAAGCAUGCGCAGGCGGUUCGUUGUGUCGGCGGUGAAAGCCCCGGGCUCAACCUGGGAAUGGCCGUUGAAACUGGCGAACUGGAGUGUGGCAGAGGGGGGUGGAAUUCCGCGUGUAGCAGUGAAAUGCGUAGAGAUGCGGAGGAACACCGAUGGCGAAGGCAGCCCCCUGGGCUGACACUGACGCUCAGGCACGAAAGCGUGGGGAGCAAACAGG